UCAACAAUCUAAUCCGGUCCGGACGGCUAGACGGACGACCAUCGGAUGUUAAUCCAACGGCUUGCAAAACUGGAGCCACGUCGCGGCCGUCGUCCCGCGCUCUCGGCGGUCAUCGUCGGCCCCAUCACAAAACUUAAGGGCCAAACAACCAACCAAGGGCGGAGAAGCAGCGCGGGCAAUACAACAAGCAGGUAGAAGAAAGAGCAAGUGCGCCGAGAGAGAUCAAGAAGAUGGGUUGGAUCGGCGGAAACUUGGAGUCUAUUCGAUCUCUCCAGACGAAGCAAGCCCUCACCCAAGCUGUUAACCUCGGUCUGGUUGUUACAUCGGCAUUGAUAUUAUGGAGGGGAUUGAUGUGUGUUACCGGGACGGAGUCGCCUGUUGUGGUUGUUCUUUCUGGAAGCAUGGAACCUGGCUUUCAGAGGGGUGAUAUUCUAUUCUUGCACAUGAAUCAGGACCCUAUUCGUGCUGGUGAAAUAGUUGUAUUUAAUGUUGAUGGAAAAGACAUUCCCAUUGUUCAUCGUGUAAUUGAAGUCCAUGAGCGGCAAGACACAGGAGAAGUUGAUGUUCUCACAAAAGUGAACAGUUACAUUUAUGGGUUUGAACAUCAGGAGAUAAUAAUGAAGAAGAUGAUAGGCUUCUUUAUCCUUACGGUCAGCUUUGGCUUCAGAAGCAUCAUAUCACAGGGCGAGCUAUAGGAGUUUUGCCAUAUGUUGGAUGGGUUACCAUUAUCAUGAAUGAGAAGCCAGUUAUUAAGUACUUAAUCAUUGGUGCAUUGGGAUUGAUGAUUAUGACAUCAAAGGAGUAGAAAUGUUGCAGGGGAAUCAGAACUGCAUUCAACUAUCCAACACUUCAAUUUUUAGUCAACAGCAAUUUGUGAGACUCCUUUUCAUCUUUUACAUUGCUUGUCAUUUGAUUAUUUUUUUUAAUAAAUCAAAUUCAGGAGCGUUAUGCCUUAAAUUUUUACGA